UCAAACAUUCAAUGUCAGUAUUUUUUCUCUUUACUGCACAAUCAGAAGCAAGAUCUUAACAAUCCAUCAAAACUCAUUCCAAAAACAGCAUCAAUGUAAAUGGAUUAUAAGCAAACAUCAAACACAAUUUACAAGAUAUCAAGAUUUAAAAAAUCCCCUUAAACAAACAGAAACCACCUCCGAUCCUAUCCCUACUUCAAAAACAUCUUCCAUUUGACAGACAGGAAAGAUAAACACGCAAAAAAAAUCUCCUAUUUAUUUACUUAUGAAUAACCAGUAAACAUUUGACAGACAGGAAAGAUAAACACGCAAAAAAAAUCUCCUAUUUAUUUACUUAUGAAUAACCAGUAAACACCAAAACCACCUCCAAAC
rnacentral:lncRNA from 1 species